CAUAAUCAUUAGUUUUUUAAUUGAAAACUUGUAUGAAUGGUUGAACGAGAAAAUGACUGUCUCUUUCUUAAUAAUUUGAAUUUAACCUUUAAGUGAAAAGGCUUAAAUUUAUCGAGGGGACGAUAAGACCCUAUAAAGCUUUAUUAGUAGUUAUUAUUUCUUAGAAGUAAAAUAAUAAAUGAAAAUCUUGAUUAUUAAUUUUGUUGGGGCGACAUAGAUAUAAGUAAUUAUAACUGUUAAUUAACUAAACAAUAAUAUUUGGAUAGUAAUUGAUCCUUAAUAACGAUUAUAAGACAAAGUUACUUUAGGGAUAACAGCGUUAUUCUUUUUGAGAGUUCUAAUCGAAAAAAGAGUUUGCGACCUCGAUGUUGAAUUAUAAAGUCUUUAUGGUGCAGCAACUAUAUAAG
rnacentral:rRNA from 1 species